CAGAUUCCUCAUCAGAUUAAGAAGAGAAAAAAUGAAGAUGAGGAAGAGGGGCACUGUAACGUCUCAAUAACAAAGGAAGAGUUUAAAAAGUCAAACCAGCUCCAACAUCAGGGCAACUGUGAACCACCUACUUAUCUGCAUCAUCGAAGCUUUUCUUGUUCCUGUCAUGAAGACGAUGUGGAGCUUUAACUAUUUGAAUCUAAGAUAAACAGCAGAGGCACUUUAUUAAAUAGACGUAUUUAUUUACAACACGACAGGGACCAGUUAACUUGAGCAUGCUU